AGCCAUGCGGUGACACAGAGCGAACUAUUCUUUCGCCUUUUACUAAAGAAUACCGUGUGCUCGCCGUAUAUAAUGGUAUACGCCAAUUUUUGGAGGGCCUUCUUUGUAGGAGGCCC
rnacentral:snRNA from 1 species